CAGAUCGUCCCGAGCGCGCCGCGGUCCAGGCGGGCACAGCGCAGGGUCAAGUUCACGUCCGGCCCGCGGGCUGCCCGAGGUCCCCGGGCGCGGCUGGGGCAGCGGGAGGCGCGGGAGGCCGAGGUCCGGGUGGCCGCCGCGGCCGCCCCCGAAGCGCUGCUGUCACCCCGGCCGCGCCCCCCAACUUUCUGCACAGUCGCGGAGCUGGAAGUUUCCGGGCUUCGCGGACACGCUGGGCUGGGUUUCAGUCGCGGCUCCGAGGUUGGCAACAAAGAGGGAAAGAAGGAGGAAAAGCAGGCCGGGGAGGGGAGGAAGAGAACCGCGCGGAGGCCGCGGCGCCGAGAGCCCCAGAACUUCCAAUUCUACCCAGAAGCUUUUUUCGUCGUGUUUUUCUCUUAGACAUGAUCCUCUCUGAGGUUGGUCCUGGGCUUCCAUACGUGAUUCAUGGAAGAGGUCUCAGCCCCAAGAGCCCCUGAGGGUACUGUCCACUCCCCCUGGAAACUUCCAGAACCUGACGUGGGGCUGAAGACAUAGAGGCUCUGAGAGUUACAUAAUUGAUUCUGACUUUGGCUGUUGGUCAACAGUGUCAUAAGGCUGUUGUAGAAUCUGCUCAGCCAGGGAGGGGAAAGGAGUCGGCAAUCAGGUCUCCUCCUGGGCACCUUUGUGAGGCCAGCUGGCGAGAGUGGGGGGUGACACUGAGGUCCCAGCAGCUCCAAAUGCAGGCAGAGCCCUGUCCUCAGAGAAGGUCACAGCCUAGCCAAGCCCAGCCAGGUGGAUGGGCCCACGGAACGCACAGGAACCUGGAACGGAGGUUGAAAGCAGGAAGCACAGUCUGUGACUCCCCAGCCCACUCUGCAUUCGACCACUUGGGGCCCAGAAGCUUCAGGAAAGGUGCACAAGGUCACUGGGUCCCAGUACUCCCAACAGGAAGGUCUGGUCCAGGGACAGGGCUCUUCCCGACUCCCCUUAGCCACACGCACCAGAAGUUCUGCAGUGCCCAGUGGGCAUAGCAGUCCCCAAGAAUGACCCAGCACUGAAGCUGAGCCAAAGAACUUGGGGAGCGAGCCACACCCCCUCACUCCCUCUUCGCCUGCUCCAGACUUGCCAGGCGGUUGCUUUUCGUGGGAACCGGGAUGUCCUCACCACCCUGUCCAGGGCCCAGCCCCAUGUCCCUGGCCUGCUACAGCUGGAAAAAAAAAAGAGAGAUGUUUGUUUUUAUUUGUUUAUAAAAAGAAAAGUGUUAUAUAUAUAACAUAUUAUACCUCAUGAAUACAUACAAUUAUUUGUCAAUUAACAAUAAAGAAAAAUACAGCAAGCAAAAAAGACUCUCUUCCACAA
rnacentral:lncRNA from 1 species